CUACCUUAGUGCCAUCAGCAAGAAGCAGUGCAGACCUCCAUCCUUGCUGCUUUCUACUGCCAAAGAUUCUCAGAGCAAAGAAGCCUCAUCCGACUGCAGAUCAAAGCCAAAGGCAGCUCCAAAUGUACCAGGACUAAAGUUAUGAAAAUGGAAAAUUUACAGCUAAAAAUGGUUUGACGAAAGAGAC